rnacentral:rRNA from 1 species
GAUGAACGCUGGCGGCGUGCUUAACGCAUGCAAGUCGAACGGUGAACACGGAGCUUGCUCUGUGGGAUCAGUGGCGAACGGGUGAGUAACACGUGAGCAACCUGCCCCUGACUCUGGGAUAAGCGCUGGAAACGGCGUCUAAUACUGGAUACGAGUAGCGGCCGCAUGGUCAGUUACUGGAAAGAUUUUUUGGUUGGGGAUGGGCUCGCGGCCUAGCAGCGUGUUGGUGAGGUAAGGGCUCACCAAGGCGGCGACGGGUAGCAGGCCUGAGAGGGUGACAGGCCACACUGGGGCUGAGGCACGGCACAGACUCCUACGGGAGGCAGCAGUGGGAAUAUUGCACAAUGGGCGAAAGCGUGAUGCAGCAACGCCGCGUGAGGGAUGACGGCCUUCGGGUUGUAAACCUCUUUUAGCAGGGAAGAAGCGAAAGUGACGGUACCUGCAGAACAAGCGCCGGCUAACUACGUGCCAGCAGCCGCCGUAA